UGUUAUCUCUGUCAUUUUCCUGGUUUCUUGCUUUUUUAUAAUUUUCUUCACAUGUUUUGUGAAAAAAACGGAGAAUUGGUAAGCAAAUGCACGAUUAAUCUUAGACAAUGUGGGAUCAUCGGAAGCAGAAUUGAUUUCGAUCUCUUCGUUUGUAUAAUACACAUAGAGUUAGUUAGUUGCCAUUGAGCAUGUAAAAUAAUCAAGAACAUAACACACACACACACACACAUAUUCUGACUGAAUGAAGCCUUUCCCUUGUGUAACCUAGCAAAUCUCCAAACGGAAAACUUAAAGGAACCUGGCAUGUUGUUGCGGACAAUUGACCAAUAAGAAGACAGGACUAGUUAUGCACCAAUCUAGAUUCUAGAUCACCGAAAGAGACCAUACAGAAGACCAUUAAUUCUUAGAAACAUAUACAGAUGAAUAAAAGAAGACAAAAGUACCCACCUUGGAGGUUUUCUUCCAGCCAUUUUGAAUGUUUUGUCCUGAUGUGGCUUGCCCACCACCAUGAAUAUGCAUUGCUUGCUGCUCUCUGCAGCAUUGUACCUGCCUUUUCCCUCCCUCAAAAUGCAAAAGAGAUUCAACGCAUUCAAAGAAGACGAGAUUUUUGAUUGCUAGUCAAAGAAGACGAGAUGUCAGCUUUGUCAAAGAAGACGAGAAAGAAGAUUUUGCCGAUAGAUAAACACAGCUUUUGCCUAGAGGGUCUCUAAUGAGCAGUGGGGGAGGAUAUUUACGGCCAAAUUUUGUGCCUUUGACAGCCUCAACAUCGAUAGGGACUCUUCAAUGGAUGCGGCCAUGUUGAAGGAUCUUGAUUUGGCAGGGACUAGGUGACAAUUAACACGGAUAACGGGAAAUGUGCCAGAAGCUAUCACCGUACAAAUGACGAAUCCCAACAGUUUAAGAGGACACAAGUUUCGAGAGAUAGCGAGAGAGGAUUCGAUCCCUAUACAAUAUGUACACAAUUCCUGCAAUUAUUUACAUAGUUUUUACAGUAGAAUAUGAAGCAUGAACCCGCUUCUGAAUGCGCAGCCAUAUUUACAUCAAAGAAUUAAAAGCACGCGCAACAAAACGCUCUCUCUCUGUCGUCUCUUAUUUUUUCUCGCUGAGGUAUCUGCCAUCACACAUUAAUCUCCUCAAUCGUGGACAGUGACGAGGGAGGGCAGCUGCAGGGGAAAACUCCUUCACGGUCAAGAAAUGAUUAGAAGCCAAAAAAACCCACCACUUUCAGCAUAUAUUAGUACUAGCUAGGAUAAGAAGAUCAUCAGCAAUCUUCUUCUACUGGCAAGCAAUAAACCCGACCAGCUACACUCUUUUUUUCUUCUUUUUUUUUCUUUUUGCCUUUUUUUUUCUUUUUCUUUCAAGUCCUCCCCAUAUCUAUGUACAAUAUUUUCUACGUUAAACAGAAGGAUGGGUUCUGCCAGAAGACCCGGCAGUUACAGAAGUAUAGCACAAUGAACAGUAAAGUGAAAUCAUUAGCAGCACUAAAUGUCAGAUGUUCUGGACGGAAGAAAG